rnacentral:rRNA from 1 species
UACAGAGGGUGCGAGCGUUAAUCGGAAUUACUGGGCGUAAAGCGCGCGUAGGCGGCUUUGCAAGUCGGGUGUGAAAUCCCCAGGCUUAACCUGGGAACUGCGUCCGAUACUGGAUGGCUUGAAUUCGGGAGAGGGAUGCAGAAUUCCAGGUGUAGCGGUGAAAUGCGUAGAUAUCUGGAGGAAUACCGGUGGCGAAGGCGGCGUCCUGGACCGACAUUGACGCUGAGGAGCGAAAGCUAGGGGAGCAAACGGG